UUACUUUGUGUUCUUCACUCUCGCGCUGUGUUGUGAUCGUUCGAAACUCAUUGCCAGAACGAAUGCAAAUUUCAUUUGGGAAGGAUCGGUGUCGGAAGAUGCAGUGAAAAUUAUGAAAUGUUAAUAGAAAAGUGAUUAAGUAAAUCGUGAAAGAUGUCAACGCAGGCGUAAAUGGAGUUUGUUUUGUUACAUGAUCUACGGCUAUUUCAUCACCAAAGCUCCUGAUAACAGAUCAAAGCAGAUGGAUAGGGCAUACAGAGUCGCCGUUUAAUUUAAAAUAUCUUCGUGAUCGGCAAACACAUCAAACAGCAUGUUUUUUUUCAACAGCACGCACCAUCGGUGGAGCAAGCAGCUAAAGUUUUGUUCGCCCAGCACGCACCAUCAAGUAUUGAAAUAUUUUCAAAUAGCUUUGUGAAUAAAAAACUGCACACUUACUGUCGAAAUUUCCUGGAAUUUUUGGUCGGGCUACGCUCGCGGGAAUGGUGUGUCCGUUGAGGAGAAGGAAAGAAAUGGUGGGAGUGAGGAUUAACCAAAAACGCGGCAUUGAGAAUGAGGGGAGGUGUGCUCAGUGCUCACGUUGGGACACUCACGAUGCUUGAAAUAAAAUGUUAACAAGCAUCGAUUUCAAGCAUGCAUGUCGCGCGACAUUUUGCCAAGCGGGUGUCGCUUCUCCGGCGAUAGCGCGUUGUAUGAUCGUUCCUGCCUUCUUUCAUCUCCUGUUCUGUUGUUUUCGGCGCUCCUAGGGAUAGAGGGAAAUAUUAACUAUUUUGCCAACAGCUGUUCAAUUUAACGUCAAGCACAAUACUUACCAACCAAUUGAAUAUUGCUUCUAUCAUGGUCCGUGCUCACUUCCGUUCGUGCAUGUGUUACGGUUUCUUUAAAAAUGAAAUUGAUUUUAUACCACAAUUAUUAAUACAACUCAGUUUGAUACAGAUUGAUGUAACCCUCUAUUAAAAGCUGUACUUACCAAAUAGUUUGAAAAAAAAACGAAAAAAACGGGCACGCAUCGACGUCCUACCACUUGCAAACUUGAUUUCACACUAUCACAUUUUCAUGUAAACGCGAAGCAGCGCCUUCCUCGUGUGGCUAUACAGGUAUACCCCGAUAUACGCCAUACUCGAUAUACGCGAUUUCGCUAUACGCUUUUUUCUAAAUUUGACAGU